CCUACGGGUGGCAGCAGUGAGGAAUAUUGGUCAAUGGGCGCGAGCCUGAACCAGCCAAGUAGCGUGAAGGAUGACUGCCCUCCGGGUUGUAACCUUCUUUUAUAAAGGAAUGAAGUGAGGCACGUGUGCCUUUUUGUAUGUACUUUAUGAAUAAGGAGCGGCUAACUCCGUGCCAGCAGCCGCGGUAAUACGGAGGAUCCGAGCGUUUUCCGGAUUUAUUGGGUUUAAAGGGAGCGUAGAUGGGUUGUUAAGUCAGUUGUGAAAGUUUGCGGCUCAACCGUAAAAUUGCAAUUGAUACUGGCAGCCUUGAGUACAGGUGAGGUAGGCGGAAUUCGUGGUGUAGCGGUGAAAUGCGUAGAUAUUACGAAGAACUCCGAUGGCGAAGGCAGCCUACUAAACUGCCACUGACAUUGAGGCUCGAAAGUGUGGGUAGCAAACAGGAUUAGAUACCCGAGUAGUC
rnacentral:rRNA from 1 species